rnacentral:lncRNA from 1 species
AUUCAACCAAGAAAAACCUGCCACCUGGAUUAGAACCACUAUAUUAUUAUUAAAUAAUAAUAAUAAUAAGGAAUAUACCAACACAAGAUCUUCUAAAUCUUGAGGUGGAAAUUCCUAUACAUUCUCUUCUAUUUGAUUAUUUGUUCUAUUCUAAAUCACUAAAAAAAAUAAGAAAAAAGAAAAAAAGACCUCCUGAUUCUAUUUAUAGAAAAAAAUUGAAAUCUUUAAAGAAUUUCUAAUUAAAGAAGAAAUAAGAUAAGUAAUUAAUUUAGAAUUCCCCGUCUUUAGAGAAAAUCCUGGAUGAAAACAAGAGAAACAAGAGAAUUUGUAUAAGAGUAAUAUACAGUUAGAAGGUUCUACUAACUAAAUAAAUGGAAAUAAUUAUAAUGGAAAUAAAAUCGGAUUCCAGUCGAUGAAUCUUGCAAUGAGAUAUGCCCUACAAUAAAGCGAUAAACAAAGCAAACUAGACGGUUCGAUCAAAAUGAAUUCUUGU